rnacentral:rRNA from 1 species
GUCCACGCCGUAACGAUGGAUACUAGCUGUUGGGAGCAAUCUCAGUGGCUAAGCGAAGUGAUAAGUAUCCCACCUGGGAGUACGUUCGCAAGAAUGAAACUCAAAGGAAUAGACGGGCCCGCACAAGCGGUGGAGCAUGUGGUUUAAUUCGAUGAUACGCGAGGAACCUUACCAAGGCUUAAAUGUAGAUUGACAGGACUGGAAACAGUUUUCUUCGGACAAUUUACAAGGUGCUGCAUGGUUGUCGU